GCAUCCUGUCCACACAGUGGACAACAAUAUGCCUCUCAUUGGUGAGGUCUGUUUUUCAUUCUUUGGUAUGCUUACUGUUAUGUAUUCAGUGGUCUGUGUUUGCCUGAGCUUGAGUCUGGACUAAGGAUUCCAAGCCCCUGUGUUCUGAUUCAAUACAUGAUAUCCAUUCACAGAACAUUUCAGGAUUUGGGCCAUUGCCAUUGGCCCUUAAACUCUGAGUUAUGAUUUGCAGCUUGGGAGUUUAGACAGCCAAUCACGUUGAGAGUGGCCGUGGCCCAAGCCUUCAGCAAUGUAUAUAGGCAGUUGCUUUGCCCCUGUUGUCCAGUUCAGUUAGUUCAAUAAAGGUUCUUUACUGUUUCUCAAAAAGCACUUAAGGAGGGUAGGUGUGACCUAGGGUAAGUUCUGAAGACCAGAACUCCCUCCUUCUGAGGGAGACCUAGAUGGCCACAAAGGGUGCCUGAAGCUGAUGUUGCCCAUCCCUGAACUAAAACGUAAGUGAUGACACCUUAGUAAGGUAAACGCAGCCUUGUACUCACUGAAAUUCUAAAGAAAACCUUAGAUGUCCUGUGAAUGAGGCAAAGCAAUGUAAAGGGAGGGGGCUUCAGAGAACGUGGAGUAGAGGCUUUGACACACUACGUAGAUGUGGCUCUGUGCCAUGAGUCUGUGUGUCUCAAUCUUUUCGAGCACCUGCUACUUGGAAGACUUGCCUCUUCACCUCCAGUCCAGGCAUAGCAAACUGUGAGGAAGAGGCUGUCAGUAAUUGAAUUUCUGUGCAGAUUCUGGAUAGGCUGAGCUUUACGGAUGGCAUGGCUAACUGCUUCAAUUUAGACUGAACAAAUACACAGCUAAUGCGCCAUGAGUGUGAUGCCCUGAUGGGGGUGAAAGGGCUUCUGUAAAGACCUGCUCAUCAGCGGCCCUCCCACUGCCAACGCCACAUUAUUCCGAGGAAUGCUGAUGAGCUUGGAAAUGGAUGCACAGCUGACAAACGCCCAGGGCUGGCAGAUUUCAAUCAGUAUAAAAGUCUGGUGGAGCCCAGGCUGGCCCAGGAAUAGGCAAUGCCUGCCUGAUGCCCUCUGGCUUACUCCAGCCCAUUUCCAGUGAGAAGCAUUUCAUGUUGCUGGCUGGAGGGGCAGGAAAAUCACUCACGGCGUGCACAUAAAACACUGCAUCCAAAGCAAUGGAUUCAAAUCAGAAGAAAGGAGAUUCCGGUUAAACAUUAGGAAGAAUUUUUGGGCGGUAAGAGCUGUUUGAUAGUGGAAGAGGCUACCUGGGAAGAUGGUGGACUUUCCUUCCUUGGCGGUUUUAAAACAGUGGUUGGCUAGCCAUCUGUCAGGGAUUCUUUAGCUGCCAUUCUUACAUUGUAGGGGUUGGACUUGACGAUCAUUUCCAGCACUACAGUUCUAUGAAGCACUGUGUUUGUUACAAAGCUUUGGCAGCCGCAAACAGUAUUGAAAGUAUGACAGUCCAGACAGCAUCAUGUGCACAAAUCAUUUUGAAAACACAAUAAAAAGGGUGUUUGGAGGGGCCCACAGUCACCACGGGUGCCAGGAUCAGUUUGUCUGUCUCUCCAUUGUACAGCUAAGGCUCAAGCCUUCUCGCUGCCAUGUGCCAAACCAGCCUUGGUUUGUGUCUGUGGAUCAGUGUGGCUCUGCUGCUCGUAAAAGGAGCCUGAGGCUCCAUCUAAGUCCUAAAUCAUGUCAGCAAAGGAGCCAGCCUCUAAUGAUAAAAUAUGAUCAUUGCCCCUGCCCCUUUUUCUGAGUCGGCAACAUUGGAAGUUGCCUCGGCGUCAGCGUCUUCCUUGUUACAAAUCUCUGCAACUACGGGAUGUGACAGGGCGCUGCACUUUACAUAUGAGAAGCACCUUCUGUAAAUCCUGCCACAUUAACCGCUGAGCUGUUUACUUUGACUUUCCUCUUUAUUUACAGCCUUUCAGCAAUGAGACCAGCCGAGAGUCGGGGAGAUGAAGAGCCGAGCUAUUCAUUCUCAGUGUCAGCUUGUCCUAACAUUUGGACAUAGGAGAAAAAAACAAACUGUUGGGCUGUUGAUUUCUCUCUCUCUCUGGUUCUUGGUAGCUUUGUUUGAAUUGGCACCGCACCGAAAGUUUUCCUUUUCCUUAUUUGUUUCCUUGGCAUAUGUGAGGUGGAAGGAGGUGGGCAAAUGGGGAGAAAAUUGCAGUACUGCAAAUCAUCCUCUCAUAAACUAAAGGGUAGAGCUCAAUCGAGCUUCUUUUUCUUUCCUUCCACAUGACAUGAUUUUAUUACUCAUACAAAUAUUGAGGCACAAAGUUGCCCAGUGUCACCAGUAUAUGCAAAUGUCUGGGUCAUCUAAGACAUUAUAGAACAUUUAUUCUCAAUAAUGAUUCAACUCACAAGUACAGAAC